rnacentral:rRNA from 1 species
AGCUCCAAUAGCGUAUAUUAAAGUUGUUGCAGUUAAAAAGCUCGUAGUUGAAUUUUGGGUUUGAUUGGAUGGUCCUGUCGCAAGAUGGGUACUGUUCGGUCGAGUCUUUCCUUCUGGCGAACCAUUGUGCUAUUCACUUAGUGUGAUGGGGAUCCAGGACUUUUACUUUGAAAAAAUUAGAGUGUUUAAACCAGGCUUACGCUUGAAUACAUUAGCAUGGAAUAAUAGGAUAGGACUUUGGUUCUAUUUUGUUGGUUUCUAGGACCGAAGUAAUGAUUAAUAAGGAUAGUUGGGGGCAUUAGUAUUUAAUUGUCAGAGGUGAAAUUCUUGGAUUUAUGAAAGACUAACUUCUGCGAAAGCAUUUGCCAAGGAUGUUUUCA